GACGAACGCUGGCGGCGUGCUUAACACAUGCAAGUCGAACGAAGAGCGAUGGAAUCUUGCUUCUAUCAAUCUUAGUGGCGGACGGGUGAGUAACGCGUAAUCAACCUGCCCUUCAGAGGGGGACAACAGUUGGAAAGGACUGCUCAUACCGCAUACGAUCUAAUCUCGGCAUCGAGGAGAGAUGAACGGUGGCCGCGACAGGUCAGCUAUCACUGCAGGAGGGGAGUGCGUCAGAGUAGCUAGAUGGAGGGGUAACGUCGCACCAAGGCGAGGAUCAGUAGUCGGUCUGAGAGGACGGACGGCCACAUUGGGACGGUGACACGGCCCAGACGCCCACGGGAGGCAGCAGUGGGGAAUCUUGAGCCAUGGGCGAAAGUCUGAGGGAGCAACGCCGCGUGAGCGAUGACGGCCUUCGGGUUGUAAAGCUCGGUUAUUGGGGAGGAAAGGCCUUCUUGCGAAUAGUGAGAAGGAUUGACGGUACCGGAAUAGAAAGCCACGGCUAACUACGUG
rnacentral:rRNA from 1 species